AUGGCGCGCGGUAAGGUGGCCGAGUGGAUAUGGAAGCGGGCGAUGCCGAGGAAGCCGGCGGCCGGGCGCCGGAGCAGGGCCAGCGGGGCGUCGGAGCCGAUACUAAGAGACGCGGAGGAGAGCUGGAGCGGCGCCACCGGGGCGCCGGCGCCGAUGCCUGCUAGAAAGAGCCCCGGGAGCGGGAAGGGUGCCAAUGGCGGCGCGGCGGCGCACUCGAGCUCGAAGGUCCGGGCGGUCGGCUUCUUGUCGGCGCUGCGGUGGCGGCCGCGCGUGAACGUGCUGGCGGUGGUGUACGAGAAGGUGGUGUACCACGUGAUGUGGCUGGUGGAGUCCGUGGUGGUGGUGGGGAGGCUCAUCUUCUUCCUCAUGCGCUUCGGCUUCAAGCAGCUCUGA
rnacentral:rRNA from 1 species